GAAAGUCCGUCGACUUUAUAAAUCGUGAGGGUUCAAGUCCCUCUAUCCCCAAAAAAGG
rnacentral:tRNA from 1 species